GUCUUGCUGACGAGUGCUAAACAGCACGAAACUCAGGUCUAAGAU
rfam:Schistosoma haematobium scaffold17_5, whole genome shotgun sequence.